AAUCGCAAAGAUAACCUAAACCCUAAUCCUCUAUAUAUCUGUUCUCUGAGUUCAGUUUUUGGCUGUUUCGCGGUGAAUUUCUGUUAAUAGAUUAGAGAUAUGUGCAUGUCUGUGUAUGUGUAGGUUAGGAUUGGAGUAAAGAGAGAGGGAUUUAUCCACCAUGGCUACGGAGAAUAGUACCAAUGCGGCGUCCACUUCGAGAUCGAAUUCGACCGCCGAUUCCUACAUAGGCAG
rnacentral:misc_RNA from 1 species